CAUGCACCAGUGGGGUCCCUUGGCCUGGCCUGUGCCCUCUCACAAUCCAGGCCCCUUCAGGCUAUGUCAGAGAGCCAGUUUCCCAAUCCUGCAGGCCAGGCCAAGGGACCCCACUGGUGCACA
rnacentral:pre_miRNA from 1 species